rnacentral:lncRNA from 1 species
AUCAGCACUUGAAAAGAACAUGUACUCUGCCACCGGUCUAUCAAUAUCAGUCAGGACUAGGCAGUUGCUAGUGUUUUUCAGAUCCGUGUACUCUGCCACUGGUCUAUCAAUAUCAGUCAGGACUAGGCAGUUGUUAGUGUUUUUCAGAUCUUUUAGAUCUUUGCUGGUUUUUGUUCAGUUAUGUCAAUUCCUGAAAGAGGAGUGUUAGUCUUCUACUCUUUUUGUGGAAUUUCUCACUUUAGUUCUGUCCAUUUUUGCUUCAUCAAUUUUGAAUGUCUCAUUAUGUACAAUUACAUUUAUAAUUGCUAUGUAGUAUCAUUAUGUUAUGUCUUCAUCAUUAUGCUAUGUCUAUUUUAUUAUGAAAACUCUCUUUUUAACUUUGGUAAUACUGUGUUCUUAAAGUCUGUUGUACCUGAUAUAGCAAUUUCAGCUUUCUUAUCCUUACUGUUUGCAUAGUAUAUUAUUUUUUAAAUCAAUUUGCUUUCAACCUAUGUUUUGAUAUUUAAAGUGUCUCUUUUGUAGACAGUGUGUAGUUGGGACUUAUUGCUGUACCCAUUCUGACAAUCUCUGCCUUUUAAUUGGAAUAUUUAUUAACAUUUAAUGUAAUUAUUGAUAUGGUUGGAUUUAGGUCUAAUAUCUUAUUAUUUGUUUUCUGUUUGCCCCUCUGUUUUGUUCCUUUCGUCUUUCUCUUCUGUCUUCUUUUGGAUUCUUUGACCCUCUCUGGAUUCUAUACUUUUAAAAUUGCACUUUAAUUCAUAUUGUCUUCUUAGCUAUAUCUCUCUGUAUUUUUCUUUAUUUUUUUUUAGUAGUUGCUCUCAGUUUUACAAUAUAUAUCUUUAUCUUUUUACAGUACAUAAGGUUAAUAUUGUACCAAUAUAUAAAAAAUAUAGAAAUGGUGAAACAGUAUGAAUCCAUUUCUCCCGUCACCACCACAUCUGUUGUCCUGAUACUGUUGUCUUAUGUAUUACACCUAAUAACAUUAUAAAUCCCCUGAUGCAAUGUUAUACUUUUUGUUUUCAACAGUAAUAUUUAUUUUAAAAAAUUUAAGAAAAAAACAUCUUUUAUCUUUACCCAUAUAUUUAUCUUUUCCAACGCUCCUCAUUCAUUUCUGAUGACCCAAUUUCCCUCUGGUACCAUUUUUAUUCAGUCUGAAAAACCUCUUUUAACAUUUUUUAUAGUGCAGGUUUGUUUUUUAUAAAUUAUCUUAGUUUGACUUUACCUGAAGAUGCUUUUGCUUUACCUCAAUUCUUGAAGGAUAUUUUCACUGAUCGUAGAAUUUCAGAUGGACAUUUAAUUAUUUCUUUUACAAUUGUAAAGAUGUUCU